rnacentral:rRNA from 1 species
UACGAAGGGGGCUAGCGUUGCUCGGAAUCACUGGGCGUAAAGCGCACGUAGGCGGACUCUUAAGUCGGUGGUGAAAUCCUGGAGCUCAACUCCAGAACUGCCUUUGAUACUGAGGAGCUUGAGUCCGGGAGAGGUGAGUGGAACUGCGAGUGUAGAGGUGAAAUUCGUAGAUAUUCGCAAGAACACCAGUGGCGAAGGCGGCUCACUGGCCCGGUACUGACGCUGAGGUGCGAAAGCUAGGGGAGCAAACGGG